GUUAUCACGGGAGACACACGGCGGGUGCUAACGUCCGUCGUGAAGAGGGAAACAACCCAGACCGCCAGCUAAGGUCCCAAAGUCAUGGUUAAGUGGGAAACGAUGUGGGAAGGCCCAGACAGCCAGGAUGUUGGCUUAGAAGCAGCCAUCAUUUAAAGAAAGCGUAAUAGCUCACUGGUCGAGUCGGCCUGCGCGGAAGAUGUAACGGGGCUAAACCAUGCACCGAAGCUGCGGCAGCGAACGUAUCACCCAAGACAACUUUGCGGAGUUGACGAUUGACGGAGCGAAGCGACGUCAAAGCGUUCAUUAAAGUCGAGUUGGCUUAGGGAUACGUUCGUUGGGUAGGGGAGCGUUCUGUAAGCCUGUGAAGGUGUGCUGUGAGGCAUGCUGGAGGUAUCAGAAGUGCGAAUGCUGACAUAAGUAACGAUAAAGCGGGUGAAAAGCCCGCUCGCCGGAAGACCAAGGGUUCCUGUCCAACGUUAAUCGGGGCAGGGUGAGUCGACCCCUAAGGCGAGGCCGAAAGGCGUAGUCGAUGGGAAACGGGUUAAUAUUCCCGUACUUGGUGUUACUGCGAAGGGGGGACGGAGAAGGCUAUGUUGGCCGGGCGACGGUUGUCCCGGUUUAAGCGUGUAGGUGUGUGUUCCAGGUAAAUCCGGUUCACUUUAACACUGAGGCGUGACGACGAGGCACUACGGUGCUGAAGCAACAAAUGCCCUGCUUCCAGGAAAAGCCUCUAAGCAUCAGGUAACAUCAAAUCGUACCCCAAACCGACACAGGUGGUCAGGUAGAGAAUACCAAGGCGCUUGAGAGAACUCGGGUGAAGGAACUAGGCAAAAUGGUGCCGUAACU
rnacentral:rRNA from 1 species